CAAUGGCGUAUAUUAAAGUUGUUGCAGUUAAAAAGCUCGUAGUUGGAUUUCUGGCGGGAGCGACCGGUCGGCCCAAGUGGUGUGUACUAGCGUUGCGUCCGGCCAUAUUUGCGGAGAGCGCGUGUGGCAUUAAUUUGUCGUGCGCGGGACCCGCAUCGUUUACUGUGAGAAAAUUAGAGUGUUCAAAGCAGGCUUAUGCCUUGGAUAUGUUAGCAUGGAAUAAUAAGAUAAGACUUUGGCGGUCUAUUUUGUUGGUUUGCACGCCAUUGUAAUGAUUGAUAGGGACAGUUGGGGGUAUUCAUAUUUAAUUGUCAGAGGUGAAAUUCUUGGAUUUAUGAAAGAUGAACUACUGCGAAAGCAUUUACCAAGGAUGUUUNCAUUAA
rnacentral:rRNA from 1 species